AAAUAACAAUACAGGGCUUUCGUCUUGUAAUUGGAAUGAUGGUGCCUUAAACCCUCACCAGAGUACCAAUUGGAGGGCAAGUCUGGUGCCAGCAGCCGCGGUAAUUCCAGCUCCAAUAGCGUAUAUUAAACUUGUUGCAGUUAAAAAGCUCGUAGUUGAAUUUCAGCGUUGCGUUUUGGUUCUUUUUUGUUUCCUUUUCGCUUCGCUUUUUUGUUUUUACUUUGAGAAAAUUAGAGUGUUUCAAGCAGACUUUUGUCUUGAAUACUUCAGCAUGGAAUAACUUAGCAUGACAUUGGUCGUGUUUUGUUGGUUCUCGUCCUUUGUACUGGUUAAUAGGAACGGUUGGGGGCAUUCGUAUUUA
rnacentral:rRNA from 1 species